rnacentral:rRNA from 1 species
AACGAACGCUGGCGGCAUGCCUAACACAUGCAAGUCGAACGAGAACUUCGGGUCUAGUGGCGCACGGAUGCGUAACGCGUGGGAAUCUGCCCUUGGGUUCGGAAUAACAGUUGGAAACGACUGCUAAUACCGGAUGAUGACGUAAGUCCAAAGAUUUAUCGCCCAAGGAUGAGCCCGCUUAGGAUUAGCUAGUUGGUGAGGUAAAGGCUCACCAAGGCGACGAUCCUUAGCUGGUCUGAGAGGAUGAUCAGCCACACUGGGACUGAGACACGGCCCAGACUCCUACGGGAGGCAGCAGUGGGGAAUAUUGGACAAUGGGCGAAAGCCUGAUCCAGCAAUGCCGCGUGAGUGAUGAAGGCCUUAGGGUUGUAAAGCUCUUUUACCCGGGAUGAUAAUGACAGUACCGGGAGAAUAAGCUCCGGCUAACUCCGUG